rnacentral:rRNA from 1 species
AAUGAACGCUGGCGGCAGGCCUAACACAUGCAAGUCGAGCGAGCGGCGGACGGGUGAGUAAUGUCUGGGAACCUGCCUGAUGGAGGGGGAUACCUACUGGAAACGGUAGCUAAUACCGCAUACCAUCAGAUGAGCCAAUAUGGGAUUAGCUAGUAGGUGGGGUAACGGCUCACCUAGGCGACGAUCCCUAGCUGGUCUGAGAGGAUGACCAGCCACUAUGGAACGGUGAACCUGUCCAGACUCCUUCGGGAGGCAUCAGUGGGGAAUAUUGCAAAAUGGGCACAAGCCUGAGGCAGCCAUUCCUCGUGUGUGAAGAAGGCCUUCGGGUUGUAAAGCCCUUUCAGCGGGGAGGCGUUACCCGCAGAAGAAGCACCGGCUAAAUCCGUGCCAGCAGCCGCGGUAAUUC